AGAAGACUGGGUCCACACCGAGUCGGUGUCCCUAUUAUGAGGAAUUGGACACAGUUUUGGGGUGCAGACCCAUGAACAACCCAGGGGAUCAUCGACUGGACAGGGGGAGUUCAGAAGAGGAGGAGAAUGAGGAGUCUUCUGGUGAGUCACCAAGUGGGU